GAUGAACGCUGGCGGAGUGCCUAAUACAUGCAAGUCGAGCGACCAGACGAGGGUAUUGCUCGUCUCACGCUAGCGACGGACGGGUGAUAAACAGGUACAUGACCAGCCGAUGGGGCUAGGACAACUACGGGAGAGCGAAGACAAUAUAGGAUAAGAGGGUGAACGGGAUGGUUCGAUAGACAUCGAGGGAUUGGAUUGCCCUAAGAGAGGGAUCCGCGCCGGAUUAGCUAGUUGGUAGGGUAACGGCUUACCAAGGCAACGAUGCGUAGCCGAUCUGAGAGGGUGAUCGGCCACACUGGGACUGAGACACGGUCCAGACUCCUACGGGAGGCAGCAGUAGGGAAUCUUCCGCAAUGGGCGAAAGCUUGACGGAGCAACGCCGCGUGAGUGAUGAAGGUCUUCGGAUCGUAAAGCUCUGUUAUUAGGGACGAACAAAUGUGUAAGUAACUAUGCACCUCUUGACGGUACCUAAUCAGAAAGCCACGGCUAACUACGUG
rnacentral:rRNA from 1 species